GAGUGUUGCUAUUGGCAAAAUUUGGAGAAGAAAAAGAGAAUGAGCAGAAAAAUUUCUAGGUUAGUGAACAGUUCGCAGUCAUCUUCAAAAGCUUGAUCGAAUGGUCAUCUGUGGUCCGAUUGAACUAAUUUUUUCAGCUUCGCAACACACUGAUCUUCAUUCUGUACGGUGUAAUUGUCGUUUGGAGUUUCCUAACACAGUUUUUCAGCAACGUUUUUGUUGCCCCUGUUUUGGUUCACCCAAGCGGAAAAGAAUUUGUUCUACGCUUUUGUUAACUGGGUACUUCUCUCGGAGCUCCAUUUGUAGUGUUCGCAAGUCUGGUGAUUGAUUGACCUUUGUUCUUUCAUCUAUGACCGCUACAAAGAACAAUAGAAGAAGAUUGAGCCUCUUAAUAGGUUUGACUGAGAAAAUAACAAUGGAGGUCAAGGGAGCGACUCCUAGUUAUUAUUAAAAGAUCCCGUCAUGUUUUCAAGGGAAUUCCACUUCAUCAUCGCCUGACCACUUCAGGGUGACAAAAUGUGGUCUCUACAGUGACUCCCAAUUGAUUGCAAGGCAAGUUCUCAUUGAGUAUGAGGCAAAGGGACCAUAUAUGGCAGAAUAUUUGAAAAAGGGAACACAAAAGUCCUUUCCCUAUCAAGGUUGGCCACCAUGGAUUUCCCCAAGACGGAACAAACUAUAUAUAUGGAGGUUGUCCCAAAAUUAAGCAUUGAAGAGAAAGCGGAGCUCAUUUAAAUUGAAAACAAACUGUUCUCGAUGGACCCAAUUAUUGACUUCCUACAUGGAGCAUCUUGCUCGAGCAGAAAUUAGAGGCAAGAAAAAUCAAGAUCAGACUAGUUCCGUUUACCAUCAUCAAUGGCACACUCUAUAGGAGAUCUAACAUGAUGCCCUACAUGUGGUUUCUCGGACCAUCAAAAGCCGAGUAUACUUUCCGUGAAGUACAUGAAGGACAAUGUGCCCAACACCUCGAAAUAAGAGCCUUAACCUGUAAAAUCUUUAAUCACGGCUACUAAUGGCCGUACAUGGAGAAGGAGUUAAGGACCUUGUAAAAAAUUGUGUGAAGUUCCAACUAUUCUCGCUAGUACUCAACCAGUCCGCUACUUAGCUUUCAUCUCUAUUGAGCCUGUUACCAUUCAUAAUGUGGUGAAUAGAUAUUCUCGAGUUAUUUCCGCA